rnacentral:rRNA from 1 species
AAGAAACGCCUCUACUUGUAUAGGUUUGACAGUGCCGUAUCAAUAAUCAUCUCCUAACUCCGUGCCAGCCGCCGCGGUAAUACGGAGGAUGCAAGCGUUAUCCGGAUUUAUUGGGUUUAAAGGGUACGUAGGCGGGAGCUUAAUUCAGUGGUGAAAUCCUGCAGCUUAACUGUAUAACUGUCAUUGAUACUGGGCUUCUUGAAUGUACUUGAGGUCUGCGGAAUGUGUAAUGUAGCGGUGAAAUGCUUAGAUAUUACACAGAACACCGAUUGCGAAGGCAGCUUACUAAACUACGAUUGACGUUGAGGUACGAAAGCGUGGGGAGCGAACAGGAUUAGAUACCAUGGUAGUCCACGCUGUAAACGAUGAUCACUCGUUGUUGGCAAUACACCGUCAGCGAGUGAGCGAAAGCAUUAAGUGAUCCACAUGGGGAGUACGACCGCAAGGUUGAAACUCAAAGGAAUUGACGGGGGCCCGCACAAGCGGAGGAACAUGUGGUUUAAUUUGAUGAUACGCGAGGAACCUUACCUGAGCUUAAAUGUAGAACGACGGACCGGGAAACUGGUCUUUCUUCGGACGGUUUGCAAGGUGCUGCAUGGCUGUCGUCAGCUCGUGCCAUGAGGUGUCGGGUUAAGUCCCAUAACGAGCGCAACCCUCAUCAUUAGUGCCAGCGGGUAAUGCCGGGGACUUUAAUGAAACUGCCGGUGUAAACCGAGAGGAAGGUGGGGAUGACGUCAAGUCAGCACGGCCUUUUUGUCCAGGGCUACACACGUGUUACAAUGGUGGGUACAAAGGGCAGCUACCAGGCGACAGGAUGCUAAUCUCUAAAACAGCUCUCAGUUCGGUUCUAAGUCUGUAACUCGAAUUUGUGAAGCUGGAUUCUCUAGUAAUCGCGCAUCAGCCAUGGUGCGGUGAAUGAGGGCCCGGGCCUUGUACACUACGCUCGUCUAGCCCAGGAAGCUGGG